UACAGAGGGGCAAGCGUUGUUCGGAAUUACUGGGCGUAAAGGGCGCGUAGGCGGCCUGCUAAGUCGAACGUGAAAUCCCCGGGCUCAACCCGGGAACUGCGUCCGAUACUGGCAGGCUUGAAUCCGGAGAGGGAUGCGGAAUUCCAGGUGUAGCGGUGAAAUGCGUAGAUAUCUGGAGGAACACCGGUGGCGAAGGCGGCAUCCCGGACCGGUAUUGACGCUGAGGCGCGAAAGCCAGGGGAGCAAACGGG
rnacentral:rRNA from 1 species